rnacentral:tRNA from 1 species
AGAAACUUAGGAUUAUCUACAAACCGAAGGCCUUCAAAGCCUUAAAUAAGAGUUAAACCCUCUUAGUUUCUG